UUACGGGAGGCAGCAGUGGGGAAUCUUGCGCAAUGGGCGAAAGCCUGACGCAGCGACGCCGCGUGGGGGAUGAAGCUUUUCGGAGCGUAAACCCCUUUCGACCGGGACGAAUGCCCGCAAGGGCUUGACGGUACCGGUAGAAGAAGCCCCGGCUAACUACGUGCCAGCAGCCGCGGUAAAACGUAGGGGGCCAGCGUUGCUCGGAAUUACUGGGCGUAAAGGGUCUGUAGGCGGUGCGGCAAGUCGGAAGUGAAAUCGCAGGGCUUAACUCUGCGGCUGCUUCCGAAACUGCCGUGCUCGAGUGUGAGAUAGGCGAGUGGAAUUGCAGGUGUAGCGGUGAAAUGCGUAGAUAUCUGCAGGAACAUCCGAGGCGAAAGCGGCUCGCUGGAUCACAACUGACGCUGAGAGACGAAAGCUAGGGGAGCAAACAGGAUUAGAUACCCCGGUAGG
rnacentral:rRNA from 1 species